CACACAGCGCUUCUUUCCUCCCACUCACCAACACCUUCCCGUGACAAGAGGUACAUUUCCAGGUUUUCCAGUGUCUUUCCGGCCUUUUCCAGCCUUGGGAGUGGAUCCGACAAAUGCUCACUCAUCUCUCAUCAAAGAAACAAGCACCAGCACCACCUGGCUCACCUGGGGGCCAAAUGGACCAACUGUCUCUGGCACCUUCUGCAGCGGGUACCACUCCAUGUCCAGCGUCAACACCUUGCUGAUCAGGCACUCCCCAGGCUGGGAAAACACAUGGGGAGGAAUUAAUUAAACAUUGCAGAAACUCACACACACACUCACUCUCUCAUUAAACUCCCACUCACGCAAGCUCACUCACACUCUACUCUACACUCACAUCAGGGCAGAUCCCGACGAGAGCAUCAGCGUUCUGGUAAAACUCUUCCUUGAGUGAGAUAACAAUGGUCUGCAGUUGCUCCUUCUUCUCCCGGAUGUAGGACGCCACCUUGCCAAUGUUGGUGUUGUCCAGCGCUGCAUCGAUCUCAUCCAGCACAAAGAAUGGAGCCGGCUGAGCAGGGCCAGGGCAGCGAUGGUCUUCUCCCCGCCAGACAGGUUGGACAUGGGCUGGAACCGUUUGCCGGGCGCUACACAGUUGUAGUUGAUGCCGUCCAGAUGCCGUCAAUCUCGUUGGACACGUGCUCAAAGAAAGCCAUGAACUUGUCGUAGCGUUCCUUCUUGGCUCGCUCAAACGCCUGCUUGGCUUUCUUGGCUCUUUUCCGGGCGUUGUCAAAUUCUGAGUUGGUCUCCUG